GGAAAUGCUCAUCCUCUUGACCUUUGUUUGGGAACGCAUGCAUUUCUGCACAGACAACAUAUAUAUACGCCCACCUCCGACGUAAACGGCAGUUUCCCUGCAAAGUUGCUGAAAAGUCAACGGAUUGUUAAAAUCCAGAGUGACAUCAGGCCAUCUUCCAAGUAUGUGGUCUUCCUUUGCAAGAUUUAGACUUGCAACCUGGAAAACGGUGGUAGACUAUGGCAUUUAAGGUUCCCACCCUGAGCGUGCCACCAGAGGGAAAUGCCUGCCAUGUAAUUAUCGUCUAUAGAGGUGUGGUUCUCAAAUGGUGUGCCACGAUGCAAGUCCAGGUGUGCCGUGGGAUUUUGUCACAACCAUGCAUGCAUUACUGCAAUACACAACUAUUCAAAAGCAGUUACCACCACGUUUCAUCAGAGGCAGCCUCAGGAUCGAUUCCCAGCAGCUGAUUAGGAAUCAAGCGGGGGCUGUAGUAGCCCGG